UAACGCUCUAUUGCAUCACAUCCGACUAAAAAAAUGACCAGGGAAACAGAAGGCUGACAGACAUAUUCAUAGAAAAUAUGAAAAAGCCCUGCCUGUUGCCGUGUUGGAACUUGUAUUGACCUGUAUGAGCAUCAUACUGUGCAAAUCACCUAAAGAUGGAGUUGACCAAGUUGCUGACUUUGAGGAGAACUUGAAGAGCAGAAGAUGCAUUCCAUGACUCUUAUGUGAUAUAGAAGACAAAGAAGAGCUCUUGAGAAUGGAAAAAAACUGCGAGUUUUACAGUUAAUGAACACACCUCGCGACACAAGUCCAUCCUGAUUCAGUAAACUGUUCUUCUAAGGAAACAACAUGACUUAGUUAAGAUCAAGUUUUGGUGUCAGAAGACUAAUGUAACUAAAACAUUGCAAAAUUAACCUGCAAGUGUCUUAUGUGAGCCUACUGAAUAAGGAUUCAUUACUGAACAGUUGAAGGAAAAUCACUAUUAUAAUGAUUUUUAAAAAAAGAUGAUUGUGUUGUUUGGAUAACAUUGUGAUCCAUGUUUGUUGAAUAAACAACUUUGCAAAAAUGAGUUGUUCUGUGUUUAAUAUUAUAAAUUUACUAAUUAGGCCAUGCCAAUUUGUAAUCUAGUUCGUCGGAUUCGCCGCUUCU